rnacentral:rRNA from 1 species
UACGUAGGGUGCAAGCGUUGUCCGGAAUUAUUGGGCGUAAAGAGCUCGUAGGCGGUUUGUCGCGUCUGCUGUGAAAACCCGAGGCUCAACCUCGGGCCUGCAGUGGGUACGGGCAGACUAGAGUGCGGUAGGGGAGAUUGGAAUUCCUGGUGUAGCGGUGGAAUGCGCAGAUAUCAGGAGGAACACCAAUAGCGAAGGCAGCUCGCUGGGACGGUAUUGACGCUAAGGCGCGAAAGCGUGGGGAGCAAACAGG